UACGAAGGGGGGCUAGCGUUGCUCGGAUUGACUGGGCGUAAAGGGCGCGUAGGCGGUUCGUACAGUCAGACGUGAAAUUCCUGGGCUCAACCUGGGGGCUGCGUUUGAUACGUGCGGACUUGAGUGCGGAAGAGGGUCGUGGAAUUCCCAGUGUAGCGGUGAAAUGCGUAGAUAUCUGGAGGAACACCGGUGGCGAAGGCGGCAUCCUGGACCGGCAUUGACGCUGAGGCGCGAAAGCUAGGGGAGCAAACGGG
rnacentral:rRNA from 1 species